GCCGAGAUAGCUCAGUCGGUAGAGCACAAGUCUGAAAAACUUGGGGUCGUGAGUUCGAUUCUCACUCUCGGCA
rnacentral:tRNA from 1 species